AUACUGAACAUAAUACAAUACAAGUUAUUCAGUCUCUCUCUCUCUCUCCCCCUCUCUCUCUCUCUACCAAACCAACACCAGGUUUUAGGUCAGGACAAGCAAGCCUUGACUCAACAAUGAUUGUCGAAGAUUUUGGGUUCUCGGAGUCCGGGAAGUCAAUUCAAUGACCCCAAUUCGAGCGAUGUGAAGCUCACGUUGAGUUCCAAGGAUGGACUCACUGUUUCCUUGAAUGUUCAUUGGCAGAUUUUGAUUGCUCACAGUCGAUUCUUCACGGUUAAGCUUUCCGAUCGAUGGUUGAAGCAGCAGCGAACUUCUAACGCCUACAUUGUCAAGAUUGUUGACUGUGAUGAUGUUGAAGUUUACAUCGAGGCUCUAAGUUUGAUGUAUUGUAAGGAUUUGAGGAAGAAGCUCAUGAAGGAAGAUGUCACCAGAGUACUUGGAAUCUUAAAGCGUCAGACUCAGGCAGGGCAAGACAGAUUGAACCCGAGAUGAUAUUUUUGCAAGUAGUGCCUGAUAUCAUGCCUUUAGUAUUGCUAGUAUAAGUCUUAUUAUUUAAGUAAUAUUUGUUAUCUGUAUUCAAACUUGUUAUGCUAUUAUAUAUCUACAGUGCCUAAAAGGAACAGAUGUUAUUUGUAUGUUGUUUUAAAAACUUCUUGUAGUGAUUCCUGCAAUAUUAGUGGAGCUAAUGAUCCUAGUGGUUUGAUCAUGUAGAUACAGUUGCUCUCGAAUAUAAUGAGUGGAAAGAUUAUCUUACAGUUCUCCCAUUUGUGGUAACUAUUGUAGUAUCUGUGUCUUUGAUUUCUAUAACUUCUCUGUCGAUCCAUGCAACUUCAGGAUCCUCAACCCACAUGUGUGAUCCGACUAUGAUGUUUACAGUAGUUCCCUGGAUCAUUGAAGAAUCACAAUAAAGAAUGGCAAUGCAGAGAAGCCAAUGGAUUUUUGUUGUCUAGAGAGAAUGGCAGUGCUAGUAAGGCAUGAUGGAGUGAAGAUUUGUCAGAAAUAAAAAGUAGAUAGAAUAUUGAAAAGAAGAGGAAAUCCCGGAGGUGGUAACUCCAAAGAAAAAAAGGCAGAGAUGCUGACUUGGCACCUUUUUUUUUGCUCAUUUGACACAAGAUGCUAACUUGGCACCAAAAGAAGCAUGCCAGUUGUGUGUAGGCAACACAGGGAAUUCAUGUGCAAUUGAUGCAUGGGAUAGUUUUUAUGUUAAUGCUUAUUGUUGUAACCAUCUGAUGAGUGGACGCUUUGCUUCGCCAAUGUUAAAGGGCUUUAUGUUCCUAAUUAUGGUUGUGCAUUGCCAAUACCAAGUAGUGGGAUUACUAGGUGUCAUUGGAGUGGUUAUAAAAUUAUGAAAGUGUCUUAUUACUUAAAUAAUUUGACAUUAAGUUAUUCCUUUUUGGAUGGUUGGAAGUGAAAUGAAUGCAAAUUUUGAAAUGAUUGAUAAUAUUUGUAUUGUU